rnacentral:rRNA from 1 species
UACAGAGGUCUCAAGCGUUUGUUCGGAUUCAUUGGGCGUAAAGGGUGCGUAGGCGGCGCGGUAAGUCGGGUGGUGAAAUCUCGGGGCUUAACUCCGAAACUGCAUUCGAUACUGCCGUGCUUGAGGACUAGAGAGGAGACUGGAAUUUACGGUGUAGCGGUGAAAUGCGUAGAUAUCGUAAGGAAGACCAGUGGCGAAGGCGGGUCUCUGGACAGUUCCUGACGCUGAGGCACGAAGGUCAGGGGAGCAAACGGG